AGCAACAGCAACGUUGUUUUGUCGAGCUGACUCAGCUUUCCUCUGCGUCAGUUGCGACUCCAAAAUCCACGCGGCCAACAAGCUUGCUUCUCGCCACGCGCGUGUCUGGGUCUGUGAAGUCUGUGAACAAGCCCCAGCUCAUGUCACCUGCAAGGCUGACGCUGCCGCUCUAUGUGUCACCUGUGACCGUGACAUCCACUCGGCGAACCCUCUUGCCCAACGCCACGAACGUGUCCCAGUCACUCCCUUCUUUGACUCUUCCUCGGCUGCGCACGGCGGUGGAGCUGCCGUUAACUUCUUGGAGUAUCGUUACCUCGAUGACGUGAAUG
rnacentral:lncRNA from 1 species